AGAGUUUGAUCCUGGCUCAGAUUGAACGCUGGCGGCAUGCCUUACACAUGCAAGUCGAACGGCAGCACGAGAGCUUGCUCUUGGUGGCGAGUGGCGAACGGGUGAGUAAUAUAUCGGAACGUACCCUAGAGUGGGGGAUAACGUAGCGAAAGUUACGCUAAUACCGCAUACGAUCUACGGAUGAAAGUGGGGGAUCGCAAGACCUCAUGCUCAUGGAGCGGCCGAUAUCUGAUUAGCUAGUUGGUGGGGUAAAAGCUCACCAAGGCGACGAUCAGUAGCUGGUCUGAGAGGACGACCAGCCACACUGGAACUGAGACACGGUCCAGACUCCUACGGGAGGCAGCAGUGGGGAAUUUUGGACAAUGGGCGCAAGCCUGAUCCAGCAAUGCCGCGUGAGUGAAGAAGGCCUUCGGGUUGUAAAGCUCUUUUGUCAGGGAAGAAACGGUGGACUCUAAUACAGAUCACUAAUGACGGUACCUGAAGAAUAAGCACCGGCUAACUACGUGCCAGCAGCCGCGGUAAUACGUAGGGUGCAAGCGUUAAUCGGAAUUACUGGGCGUAAAGCGUGCGCAGGCGGUUGUGCAAGACAGAUGUGAAAUCCCCGGGCUCAACCUGGGAAUUGCAUUUGUGACUGCCCGGCUAGAGUGUGUCAGAGGGGGGUAGAAUUCCACGUGUAGCAGUGAAAUGCGUAGAGAUGUGGAGGAAUACCGAUGGCGAAGGCAGCCCCCUGGGAUAACACUGACGCUCAUGCACGAAAGCGUGGGGAGCAAACAGGAUUAGAUACCCUGGUAGUCCACGCCCUAAACGAUGUCUACUAGUUGUCGGGUCUUAAUUGACUUGGUAACGCAGCUAACGCGUGAAGUAGACCGCCUGGGGAGUACGGUCGCAAGAUUAAAACUCAAAGGAAUUGACGGGGACCCGCACAAGCGGUGGAUGAUGUGGAUUAAUUCGAUGCAACGCGAAAAACCUUACCUACCCUUGACAUGUCUGGAAUCCUUGAGAGAUCAGGGAGUGCUAGAAAGAGAAUCAGAACACAGGUGCUGCAUGGCUGUCGUCAGCUCGUGUCGUGAGAUGUUGGGUUAAGUCCCGCAACGAGCGCAACCCUUGUCAUUAGUUGCUACGAAAGGGCACUCUAAUGAGACUGCCGGUGACAAACCGGAGGAAGGUGGGGAUGACGUCAAGUCCUCAUGGCCCUUAUGGGUAGGGCUUCACACGUCAUACAAUGGUACAUACAGAGGGCCGCCAACCCGCGAGGGGGAGCUAAUCCCAGAAAGUGUAUCGUAGUCCGGAUUGUAGUCUGCAACUCGACUACAUGAAGUUGGAAUCGCUAGUAAUCGCGGAUCAGCAUGUCGCGGUGAAUACGUUCCCGGGUCUUGUACACACCGCCCGUCACACCAUGGGAGCGGGUUUCACCAGAAGUGGGUAGCCUAACCGCAAGGAGGGCGCUCACCACGGUGGGAUUCGUGACUGGGGUGAAGUCGUAACAAGGUA
rnacentral:rRNA from 1 species